CGGCAACAUGCAGGCGCACCGGAUUGGCAGAGCUGGGAGUUUCUUCUAUAGCACCCUCUGGUGUGCUGGAGGAGUGAUGGGAGGUCUCCCCACUCUCACCUCCGGUGGCCCCAAAGCUUCAGCAGCAUCGAUGUAUCAGACAUUCAACGAAUCGUGUUUCAUAUCUGCUCUGAUUAAACAUUCUGUUGGAGGAUGCCAAAGGAAGAUUAAAGUCUAACUUCAUGGCUAUUCAUUGUGUUACCUGGAAUACAGACAUUUCCCAAAGUAGCCGGGAGAGAGGCUGUUUGUAACGACUGUAAUCCAUUCAAGACGAUUCUAACAUAGAUCCUUCCCUUGUGACUUACGGAACAUUUGCCUGUCCUCUGUGCUGUUUCUUCUAAAUAAAUUAACAGAAAAUUCAGCAAGCAGCAAAUGGCAAUAUCAAGUCACACAGCAUUUACAACCCCAUCGCAGACACAGUGUCAUUGAAACAGACAGAUCUGAACUGUGGAGGAUGGGGGUUUGGAUACUGACCGUUAUUCUGUUUUUGUCCAUUUUUCUUAAAUAUCAUUUCUGAUUUUGCCAUUAGACUCAGAUUGGUUUAUUAUCAUUUGCAACAUGGUGGAAUGAAAUUCCUUGUGUUUCUGAAACACACAGAGUCACCGGCAUUCAUGAUACAUAAAUAUAGCAAAUAUAUAGGAAAGUGCAAAACAAUAGACAUGUAGAAUACAGCAGUGCAAUAUGGAUUAGUGCAAAAUUAAAUUGAACGCGACCGUAAAGAUAUAACCAACAGAUUGGUGAAAUACACCAUGGUUCAGAGAAACAUUGUCCCACUUCUAUGUGCGUUAUAUACACGCAUAUAGUUAAAUGACAAUAAUGCGGACUUGAGAAUGGUGGAGCUAAUAGAUUGAGAACAUGCCAGCGCCACUUGAAAGAGGGGGUUACUUGAGAAGUCUGCGAGCAAAGUAGGAACAUCUUCUGAUGUUUUUGUUUCAUCGCUUGCUAUGUUCUGUGUUUUGGCAAGCGUUGUGGGCAUUUUUUGUUGGUGCUGGAGUGUGUGGCGAUAUUUGCUGGCUGCUCCCAACACAUUAUUGGGUGUGUUAGUUAUUAACUCAAACAAAGCAUUUAACUGUAUGUUUCAAUACAACUAACAAAUAAAUCUGAAUCUUUAGUCUCAA